rnacentral:rRNA from 1 species
AGUGAACGCUGGCGGUAGGCCUAACACAUGCAAGUCGAACGGCAGCACAGUAAGAGCUUGCUCUUACGGGUGGCGAGUGGCGGACGGGUGAGGAAUACAUCGGAAUCUACUUUUUCGUGGGGGAUAACGUAGGGAAACUUACGCUAAUACCGCAUACGACCUACGGGUGAAAGCAGGGGAUCUUCGGACCUUGCGCGAUUGAAUGAGCCGAUGUCGGAUUAGCUAGUUGGCUGGGUAAAGGCCCACCAAGGCGACGAUCCGUAGCUGGUCUGAGAGGAUGAUCAGCCACACUGGAACUGAGACACGGUACAGAAUCCUACGGGAGGAAGCAGUGGGGAAUAUUGGACAAUGGGGGAAAGGCUGAUCCAGCAAUACCGCGUGGGUGAAGAAGGACUUCGGGUUGUAAAGCACUUUUGUUGGGAAAGAAAAGCAGCAGGUUAAUACCCCGCUGUUCCGACGGUACCCAAAGAAUAAGCACCGGCUAACUUCGUG